UGGGGAAUAUUGGACAAUGGGCGAAAGCCUGAUCCAGCCAUGCCGCAUGAGUGAAGAAGGCCUUUGGGUUGUAAAGCUCUUUUAGUGAGGAAGAUAAUGACGGUACUCACAGCAGAAGUCCUGGCUAACUCCGUGCCAGCAGCCGCGGUAAUACGGAGAGGGCUAGCGUUAUUCGGAAUUAUUGGGCGUAAAGGGCGCGUAGGCUGGUUAAUAAGUUAAAAGUGAAAUCCCGAGGCUUAACCUUGGAAUUGCUUUUAAAACUAUUAAUCUAGAGAUUGAAAGAGGAUAGAGGAAUUCCUGAUGUAGAGGUAAAAUUCGUAAAUAUUAGGAGGAACACCGGUGGCGAAGGCGUCUAUCUGGUUCAAAUCUGACGCUGAAGCGCGAAGGCGUGGGGAGCAAACA
rnacentral:rRNA from 1 species